GAACUUAAGUGGACUUACGUGGCGAACGGGUGAGUAACACCGUGACGUAACCCUGCCUUACACAACGGGGGUACGCCUCUGGACAACGGACGAAUAAUACCCUACUAAAUGUCUAAGUCAGGCCCAUGCUGGAAACGACCCAAAAGAUUUACUCGAGUGUACAGACUAGGACUUGCGUCUGACUUAAGGCUCCGUUGGUGACGAUACAAGCUCACCAAGGCGACGAUCAGUAGCCGGCUUGAGAGAGUGUACGGCCACAUUGGGACUGAGACACGGCCCAACUCCUACGGGAUGGCAGCAUUGGGGAAUUUUGCACAAUGGGGGAAACCCUGAUGCAGCGACGCCGCGUGAUUUAGAAGGCCUUCGGGUUGUAAAAUCUUUUUUACGGGAUGAAAAUGACAGUACCGUAAGAAUAAGGUCCGGCUAAAUACGUGCCAGCAGCCGCGGUAAUACGUAUGGACCGAGCGUUGUCCGGAAUCAUUGGGCGUAAAGGGUACGUAGGCGGCCUAGUAAGUUAGAAGUUAAAGAAUAUAGCUCAACUAUAUAAAGCUUUUAAAACUGCUAGGCUUGAGAGAUGGAAGGGAAAGUGGAAUUCCUAGUGUAGCGGUGAAAUGCGCAGAUAUUAGGAAGAAUACCGGUGGCGAAGGCGACUUUCUGGUCAUCAUCUGACGCUGAGGUACGAAAGCGUGGGUAGCAAACAGGAUUAGAUACCCUGGUAGUCCACGCUGUAAACGAUGAGUGUUAGGUUCUUGGAAUAAUCUGGGAGCCGCAGCUACGCAUUAACACUCCGCCUGGGGAGUACGCACGCAAG
rnacentral:rRNA from 1 species